UUCAUGGAGAGUUUGAUCCUGGCUCAGGACGAACGCUGGCGGCGUGCCUAAUACAUGCAAGUCGAGC
rnacentral:rRNA from 2 species